GUCAUUUUUCAGAAGAACCCAGCUUGCUUUGGAACUACAGUCAGCCCUGCAACCCACCCUCACCUUGGACCCUGCUGCUGCUGUCUGUAAAGGGUCUGGAUGAAGGAAGGGAGCCUCCAGCUUGUCGGCUGUACUUGCCCAGAAUUUAGCCUUUGCAACAUGGAGCUGCGGGGAUGGGAAAUGUUGUCCACUAGCCUUCCGUAGACAAUGCUGCGAUGAAUACACCUGUGCAUUCUUUUUUAGAACAAGUGUAAGAAUUCCUAUGUGGCUGGACGGUACUGCUGCCAUCUCGGCUCACUGCAACCUCCCUGCCUGAUUCUCCUGCCUCAGCCUGCCGAGUGCCUGCGAUUGCAGGCGCGCACCGCCACGCCUGACUGGUUUUCGUUUUUUUUUGGUGGAGACGGGGUUUCGCUGUGUUGGCCGGGCUGGUCUCCAGCUCCUAGCCGCGAGUGAUCCGCCAGCCUCGGCCUCCCGAGGUGCCGGGAUUGCAGAUGGAGUCUCGUUCACUCAGUGCUCAAUGGUGCCCAGGCUGGAGUGCAGUGGCGUGAUCUCGGCUCGCUGCAACCACCUCCCAGCCGCCUGCCUUGGCCUCCCGGAGAGCCGAGAUUGCAGCCUCUGCCCGGCCGCCACCCCGUCUGGGAAGUGAGGAGCGUCUCUGCUUGGCCACCCAUCGUCUGGGAUGUGAGGAGCCCCUCUGCCUGGCUGCCCAGUCUGGAAAGUGAGGAGCGUCUCUGCCCGGCCGCCAUCCCAUCUGGGAAGCGAGGAGCGCCUCUUCCCCGCCGCCAUCCCAUCUAGGAAGUGAGGAGCGUCUCUGCCCGGCCGCCCAUCGUCUGAGAUGUGGGGAGCACCUCUGCCCCGCCGCCCUGUCUGGGAUGUGAGGAGCGCCUCUGCUGGGCCGCAGCCCUGUCUGGGAGGUGGGGAGCGUCUCUGCCCGGCCGCUCCGUCUGAGAAGUGAGGAAACCCUCUGCCUGGCAACCGCCCCGUCUGAGAAGUGAGGAGCCCCUCCGUCCGGCAACCACCCCGUCUGGGAAGUGAGGAGCGUCUCCGCCCAGCAGCCACCCCGCCCGGGAGGGAGGUGGGGGGGACAGCCC
rnacentral:lncRNA from 1 species